rnacentral:rRNA from 1 species
GACGAACGCUGGCGGCGUGCCUAAUACAUGCAAGUUGAGCGCUGAAGGUUGGUACUUGUACCAACUGGAUGAGCAGCGAACGGGUGAGUAACGCGUGGGGAAUCUGCCUUUGAGCGGGGGACAACAUUUGGAAACGAAUGCUAAUACCGCAUAAAAACUUUAAACACAAGUUUUAAGUUUGAAAGAUGCAAUUGCAUCACUCAAAGAUGAUCCCGCGUUGUAUUAGCUAGUUGGUGAGGUAAAGGCUCACCAAGGCGAUGAUACAUAGCCGACCUGAGAGGGUGAUCGGCCACAGUGGGACGGAGACACGGCCCAAACUCCUACGGGAGGCAGCAGGAGGGAAUCUUCGGCAAUGGACGAAAGUCUGACCGAGCAACGCCGCGUGAGUGAAGAAGGUUUUCGGAUCGUAAAACUCUGUUGGUAGAGAAGAACGUUGGGGAGAGUGGAAAGCUCAUCAAGUGACGGUAACUACCCAGAAAGGGACGGCUAACUACGUG